rnacentral:rRNA from 1 species
AUCAACUUUCGAUGGUAGGAUAGAGGCCUACCAUGGUGGUAACGGGUAACGGGGUGUUAGGGCACGACACCGGAGAGGGAGCCUGAGAAACGGCUACCACAUCCAAGGAUGGCAGCAGGCGCGCAAAUUACCCAAUCCCGACACGGGGAGGUAGUGACAAUAAAUAACAAUACGGGGUCCUUUGGGUCUCGUAAUUGGAAUGAGUACAAUUUAAAUCUCUUAACGAGGAACAAUUGGAGGGCAAGUCUGGUGCCAGCAGCCGCGGUAAUUCCAGCUCCAAUAGCGUAUAUUAAAGUUGUUGCAGUUAAAAAGCUCGUAGUUGAAUUUCGGGGUCGGUAGGUUGGUCAUGCCAUCGGUAUGCACUGGUCUCACCGAUUCCUCCCUCUUGUAGAAGCGUAAUGCCAUUAAUUUGGUGUUGCGGGGAAACAGGACUGUUACUUUGAAAAAAUUAGAGUGUUUAAAGCAGGCUAACGCCUGAAUACAUUAGCAUGGAAUAAUGAAAUAGGACGUCGAUCCUAUUUUGUUGGUUUCUAGGGUUGACGUAAUGAUUAAUAGGGAUAGUUGGGGGCAUUAGUAUUCAAUUGUCAGAGGUGAAAUUCUUGGAUUUAUUGAAGACUAACUACUGCGAAAGCAUUUGCCAAGGAUGUUUUCAUUAAUCAAGAACGAAAGUUAGGGGAUCGAAGACGAUCAGAUACCGUCGUAGUCUUAACCAUAAACUAUGCCGACUAGGGAUCGGAUGAUGUUAAUUUUUUAAUGACUCAUUCGGCGCCUUACGGGAAACCAAAGUGUUUGGGUUC